rnacentral:rRNA from 1 species
UACGGGGGGGGGCAAGCGUUGUUCGGAAUUACUGGGCGUAAAGGGCUCGUAGGCGGCCAACUAAGUCAGACGUGAAAUCCCUCGGCUUAACCGGGGAACUGCGUCUGAUACUGGAUGGCUUGAGUUUGGGAGAGGGAUGCGGAAUUCCAGGUGUAGCGGUGAAAUGCGUAGAUAUCUGGAGGAACACCGGUGGCGAAGGCGGGUCUCUGGGCCGAUACUGACGCUGAGGAGCGAAAGCGUGGGGAGCGAACAGG